AACACAGGUGGUCAUGACCUUCCUGACUUCUCAAGGAGGAAACCUUUAACUGUGGGGAAGAAGACAUUGAACUUCAACAAAUCAGAAGCAUCUUACCGUAGAAAAGAAAGGAGUUUUAAUUUGACAGAGCUCGGGAGAUUUGAGCAUCUCCCCACCACCUAAGGUGGUCUGGCAGUGAAGAGAGGCUAGUCCCCCGCUCAGGAAAAGAAGGGAAGGACAUCUUUGCAGUUAUAAUCAUCUCCCAACAGCCUGCCGAGGACCAAGGCCUGGCCCAAGCAGCAAACCUGGAGCCAGAGGGAAUGGCCCCUGAGAACAGCAGACCCCCACCCCAGG
rnacentral:lncRNA from 1 species